UGGGGAAUAUUGGACAAUGGGGGGAACCCUGAUCCAGCCAUGCCGCGUGUGUGAAGAAGGCCUUUUGGUUGUAAAGCACUUUAAGCGAGGAGGAGGCUCCUAUAGAUAAUACCUAUAGUGAGUGGACGUUACUCGCAGAAUAAGCACCGGCUAACUCUGUGCCAGCAGCCGCGGUAAUACAGAGGGUGCAAGCGUUAAUCGGAUUUACUGGGCGUAAAGCGUGCGUAGGUGGUCUUUUAAGUCGGAUGUGAAAUCCCUGAGCUUAACUUAGGAAUUGCAUUCGAUACUGGGAGACUAGAGUAUGGGAGAGGAUGGUAGAAUUCCAGGUGUAGCGGUGAAAUGCGUAGAGAUCUGGAGGAAUACCGAUGGCGAAGGCAGCCAUCUGGCCUAAUACUGACACUGAGGUACGAAAGCAUGGGGAGCAAACA
rnacentral:rRNA from 1 species